GAUGAACGCUGGCGGCGUGCCUAAUACAUGCAAGUCGAGCGAACGGACGAGAAGCUUGCUUCUCUGAUGUUAGCGGCGGACGGGUGAGUAACACGUGGAUAACCUACCUAUAAGACUGGGAUAACUUCGGGAAACCGGAGCUAAUACCGGAUAAUAUUUUGAACCGCAUGGUUCAAAAGUGAAAGACGGUCUUGCUGUCACUUAUAGAUGGAUCCGCGCUGCAUUAGCUAGUUGGUAAGGUAACGGCUUACCAAGGCAACGAUGCAUAGCCGACCUGAGAGGGUGAUCGGCCACACUGGAACUGAGACACGGUCCAGACUCCUACGGGAGGCAGCAGUAGGGAAUCUUCCGCAAUGGGCGAAAGCCUGACGGAGCAACGCCGCGUGAGUGAUGAAGGUCUUCGGAUCGUAAAACUCUGUUAUUAGGGAAGAACAUAUGUGUAAGUAACUGUGCACAUCUUGACGGUACCUAAUCAGAAAGCCACGGCUAACUACGUGCCAGCAGCCGCGGUAAUACGUAGGUGGCAAGCGUUAUCCGGAAUUAUUGGGCGUAAAGCGCGCGUAGGCGGUUUUUUAAGUCUGAUGUGAAAGCCCACGGCUCAACCGUGGAGGGUCAUUGGAAACUGGAAAACUUGAGUGCAGAAGAGGAAAGUGGAAUUCCAUGUGUAGCGGUGAAAUGCGCAGAGAUAUGGAGGAGCACCAGUGGCGAAGGCGACUUUCUGGUCUGUAACUGACGCUGAUGUGCGAAAGCGUGGGGAUCAAACAGGAUUAGAUACCCUGGUAGUCCACGCCGUAAACGAUGAGUGCUAAGUGUUAGGGGGUUUCCGCCCCUUAGUGCUGCAGCUAACGCAUUAAGCACUCCGCCUGGGGAGUACGACCGCAAGGUUGAAACUCAAAGGAAUUGACGGGGACCCGCACAAGCGGCGGAGCAUGUGGUUUAAUUCGAAGCAACGCGAAGAACCUUACCAAAUCUUGACAUCCUUUGACAACUCUAGAGAUAGAGCCUUCCCCUUCGGGGGACAAAGUGACAGGUGGUGCAUGGUUGUCGUCAGCUCGUGUCGUGAGAUGUUGGGUUAAGUCCCGCAACGAGCGCAACCCUUAAGCUUAGUUGCCAUCAUUAAGUUGGGCACUCUAAGUUGACUGCCGGUGACAAACCGGAGGAAGGUGGGGAUGACGUCAAAUCAUCAUGCCCCUUAUGAUUUGGGCUACACACGUGCUACAAUGGACAAUACAAAGGGCAGCGAAACCGCGAGGUCAAGCAAAUCCCAUAAAGUUGUUCUCAGUUCGGAUUGUAGUCUGCAACUCGACUACAUGAAGCUGGAAUCGCUAGUAAUCGUAGAUCAGCAUGCUACGGUGAAUACGUUCCCGGGUCU
rnacentral:rRNA from 1 species